rnacentral:lncRNA from 1 species
AAUUCUCAUAUUUCAAUUCCUAUUAAAUUAACCACUAUUAUUGAUCCCUCUUACCAAACAAAGUACAUCACCAAAUUAAGCAUCCCCCUACCAUUUUCUUUCAUCAUCUUUGGUUUCACUCCUCAACCACUCAAAGUUGAUCUCCAUACUCUCUUAUCACUCUCAAAUCUUUCACUAUUAAUUGCUAAUCUAACAUCUUUACUAGAGACCAAAUACUUUGCCAUCCUCUCAUCCAACCCCGUAACCACUGCUACCAUGUCGAUUGUUCGUAUCACAAAUAGCCUACUUGACCCCCACCGAUAAAUUACCAGACAGUUAAAUCCUUGCUCUCAAUCAUUCUCAAAUUUCGCACCAUUAAUUAUUAAUUUGACGCCUUUACUAGAGACCAAAUCCUUUACCAUCCUCUCAUCCCAAUCCUAUAACCAUCGGUACAACGUCAAUUGUUCGUGUCACAAAUAGCCUACUUGACCCCCACUGAUAAAUUACCAGGCAGUUAAAUCCUUGCUCUCCAUCACUCUCAAAUCUCGCACCAUUAAUUAUUAAUCUAACGUCUAUACUAUAGAGACCAAAUCCUUUGUCAUCCUCGCAUUCAACCCAAUAACCACCGCUACCGUGUCGAUUGUUCGUAUCACAAAUGGCCUACUUUUGACCCUACUGAUAAAUUACCAAGCAGUCAAAUCCAUGCUCUUGUCACUUUCAAUUGUCGCACCAUUAAUUACCAAUUUAACAUCUUUACUAGAGACCAAAUCCUUUGCCAUCCUCUGAUCCAACCCCAUAACCACCGCUACCAUGUCAAUUGUUCGCAUCACAAAUAACCUACCUGAUCCCCCACCAUAAAUUUCUGGGCUGUUAAAUUAUGUAAAAUAAUUAUUAUUCUUCAAAAAGUUAAGUUAUUAGAAAUAUAUAGUAAUUUUAAUAUUUAUAUUCAAUACAGACAAGCUCCUCUUCUACCUUUUAGAUUGAAAGAUCUAAAAAAUUAAUAGCUUAGCACAAUAGAAUUAAAGUAACUCAUUAAGCUAAUAUAUAGAUGGAAAAAAAAUCUAAAUUUAUCAGAAAUUUCGUUAGAAAGUUUUGCUAAACAAACACCAUAUAGCAACAGAAAUUAGGGAAGUUAACUUAUAAGGUACCGUUUGGUUCGGGAAUAAGCAAAAAGUGACUAUUCUAGAAAUACGUAUAAAUUGAGGUAUAAGUGGGGUUUAGAUCAAUUUUGCGUUUGGAUGAAAAUUGGGUUAUUCCUGAGAAUAAAAAAAAUAGCGUUUGGUUAGGUAAGCUGGAAUAAAAAUUUAAGUGGAUAGUUAUAAAUAAAAAAUAAUGAUAUCAUCAUUUUCUUUAUAUUAAAAUUUGAAUUUUUACAUUUUAUAUUUAUAUUUUAGAAUUUAAAAUAUAAACUUUUAAAUUUUAAAUUUUUAAAAUCUUAAAUUUACAAUUUUAAAAAUUAAAAUUUUAAAUUUUAAACUUUAAAUUUAAUAUGAAAUUUUAAUUUAAAAAUACAAAACAUUAAAUUCUAAAUAUAAAAAAUUUAAAAUAUCAAGUUUUAAAAUUUAAAAUUAAACAAUUUAAAAUUUAAAUUUUUAAUUUUGUAAUUUUAAAAAUUAUAAAUUUUUAUUCUUUAACUUACGAAAUUUAAAUUUUAAAAUAAAUUAAAAACUCUCUCUCUCUCUCUCUCUCUCUCUCUCUCUCUCUUCACGAGUGGAACAAGCUAGAUUAUCCUAGCUUAUUCCACCCUGGGGUGGCCCACCUUAACGGGCUAUUCUAGAAUAGCCCGUUAAGGUGGGAAUUAGUGUUCCCACCAAAUUUUCUUUGUGUUUGGGUGAUAAGGGUGGAAUAAACUUUUUAUUCCACCCUUAUCCCCUCAACC